GAGUUUGAUCCUGGCUCAGAUUGAACGCUGGCGGCAGGCCUAAUACAUGCAAGUCGAACGAGAAAGCAUCUUCGGAUGUGAGUACAGUGGCGGACGGGUGAGUAAUACAUAGGAAUCUACCCAAUGGUGGGGGAUAGCUCGGGGAAACUCGAAUUAAUACCGCAUAAUCUCUACGGAGUAAAGGGGGCUUCGGCUCUCGCCAUCGGAUGAGCCUAUGCAGGAUUAGCUUGUUGGUGAGGUAAUGGCUUACCAAGGCAACGAUCCUUAGCUGGUUUGAGAGGAUGACCAGCCACAUCGGGACUGAGACACGGCCCGGACUUCUACGGAAGGCAGCAGUAGGGAAUAUUGGACAAUGAGCGAAAGCUUGAUCCAGCCAUGCCGCGUGUGUGAUGACGGCCUUCGGGUUGUAAAGCACUUUAGGUAAUGAGGAAAAAUUAGAUGUUAAUACCACCUAAUCAUGACGUUAAUUACAGAAUAAGCACCGGCUAAAUCCGUGCCAGCAGCCGCGGUAAUACGGAUGGUGCAAGCGUUAAUCGGAAUUACUGGGCGUAAAGCGCGCGUAGGUGGCACACCAAGUUAGAUGUGAAAUCCCAGGGCUUAACCUUGGAACUGCAUCUAAAACUGGUGAG
rnacentral:rRNA from 1 species